AGAGCUUGCUCUCUGGAUCAGUGGCGAACGGGUGAGUAACACGUGAGCAACCUGCCCCGGACUCUGGGAUAACAGCUGGAAACAGCUGCUAAUACCGGAUACGAGCUGCGAAGGCAUCUUCAGCAGCUGGAAAGAAUUUCGGUCCGGGAUGGGCUCGCGGCCUAUCAGCUAGUUGGUGAGGUAAUGGCUCACCAAGGCGUCGACGGGUAGCCGGCCUGAGAGGGUGACCGGCCACACUGGGACUGAGACACGGCCCAGACUCCUACGGGAGGCAGCAGUGGGGAAUAUUGCACAAUGGGCGAAAGCCUGAUGCAGCAACGCCGCGUGAGGGAUGACGGCCUUCGGGUUGUAAACCUCUUUUAGCAGGGAAGAAGCGAAAGUGACGGUACCUGCAGAAAAAGCGCCGGCUAACUACGUGCCAGCAGCCGCGGUAAUACGUAGGGCGCAAGCGUUAUCCGGAAUUAUUGGGCGUAAAGAGCUCGUAGGCGGUUUGUCGCGUCUGCUGUGAAAACCCGAGGCUCAACCUCGGGCCUGCAGUGGGUACGGGCAGACUAGAGUGCGGUAGGGGAGAUUGGAAUUCCUGGUGUAGCGGUGGAAUGCGCAGAUAUCAGGAGGAACACCGAUGGCGAAGGCAGAUCUCUGGGCCGUAACUGACGCUGAGGAGCGAAAGGGUGGGGAGCAAACAGGCUUAGAUACCCUGGUAGUCCACCCCGUAAACGUUGGGAACUAGUUGUGGGGUCCAUUCCACGGAUUCCGUGACGCAGCUAACGCAUUAAGUUCCCCGCCUGGGGAGUACGGCCGCAAGGCUAAAACUCAAAGGAAUUGACGGGGACCCGCACAAGCGGCGGAGCAUGCGGAUUAAUUCGAUGCAACGCGAAGAACCUUACCAAGGCUUGACAUAUACGAGAACGGGCCAGAAAUGGUCAACUCUUUGGAC
rnacentral:rRNA from 1 species